UAAAAAAAUUGCUUAGGACGCAAGGUAAAUGCUUAUAUAUAAAAAACCAUCUGUUAGUUUUUGAUGGUAUAAACAAACGGAAUUUCGAUGUAACGAAGUGCGGGAUUAAUGAAAAAAACGUUUAUCAUUUUAUGGAUCAUUUAAUGGAAUGUAUAUAAAAUUCAGCUAGCAUAUGCAAUUCAGAACCCUUGCCCAUAAUAAAUUGUUUAUGACGCAAGGAAAAAGCGUACGAUCACAUCGGAUGAGACCCGCUCAGAAACGAUCUAUCUACAGUCCGAUGUUCGUUGGCAGGUUUACGAUUUUUCGCAUCAUUCUGACAAGAAAUAUUUUAAGUGCUAUUGCAAUACGCUCAAAUGGAUCUACGGCGAUUUUCGGAUCCUCAGUGAUUUUUGAUUGGUAUGGAGAUUUGGACGACUACAGGACAAGUUCUCGCUGAUUCACUACGUAUUGAAUGAAACUAUACAAGGUAUGUUAUGUAGUAUUUAAACAAAAAAUUCAACAGCAUAAACAUCAGUUCCUUACUGAGGGUUGAUUAUUUAUUUAGCGAAGCCAAUAAUAAUAGAUCUGAAUCAUUGUAAUGUAUUGGACUAAUUCAUAUUUUGUAUUUUCACAUAGCCUCUGAUGAGAAGAGUUUUCUCAAAUCCUCCCCUUGAUGCUCAGAUAUUAGGAAGAAUAUCUGGAAGCUCAGGCAGGAGAAAGUCUGUUCUUAGGUCAAAAUCUCGUAUACAAGGAAAGUAGUGAAUCUGUCAAAGCUACAGUAGCGAUGUAUAUGGAUUUUUCAUUGACCGUGGACAUGCCUCUAAAUGUUUUGGAAGUGACCGCACUGUUCAAAUACUUCAGUAAACUUAGACUUCUUAUGAAGCUACUGUCAGGAUUCAUCGUCGAAAUCGAUAUUCCCAUUUUGUCUACGGUUACCGCCAGAAUAACCUUUCAAGAAUUUGCAUUUGGAAAUGACAAAUUUGAAAAUCUUACAAGUGCUCUUGGGUUACUUUAAAGAUUCAAUCAGCCUCCGAUGAGAAGAGUUUCCACAAAUCCUUCCCUUGAUACUCAGAUAUCAGGAAGUAUGUCUGGAAGCUCAGGCAGGAGAAAGUCCAUUCUUAGGUCAAAAUCUUGUAUACAAGGAAAGUAGUGAAUCUAUCAAAGCGACAGUAGCGAUGUAUAUGGAUUUUUCAUUGACCGUGGACAUGCUUCUAAAUGUUUUGGAAGUGACCGCACUGUUCAAACACUUCAGUAAACUUAGACAUCUUAUGAAGCUACUGCCAGGAUUCACUGUCGAGAUCGAUAUUCCUAUUUUGUCUACGGUUACCACCAGAAUAACCUUUCAAGAAUUUGCAUUUGGAAAUGACAAAUUCGAAACUCUUGGAUUACCUUAAAGAUUCAAUCAUUUUUGGAGACUGGGAGUUGCCAGGUGAGGGAGAGCAAGAAACACCGAUUCAAAAAUCUGAGACUGUUUGCAGUUUGAGCUGAAAGAUCGUUUCGAAGAAAUUAAUAGACUCAAAGAAAAAGCGAACGAUGAGGCAGAACAAAAAAGUAUGGCAGAAAUUCUGUCCCAGGUCGAGAUAAUAGGGAAAAAAUUGAAUUUCCUGAAAUUGCAAGAAACCUUAGCAGCAAUCUGGUCGCGACUUUCGCUGAUCCUCAAGGUGCCAGCUUAAAACAAUUGACGUUGCAGAUUCAGCUAUUCAAACAAACGGGUUCGACUAAAGUUGGAGAGGAAAAAACGGCAUUUACUGAAGUGGAUAAAAUUCGCAAACGAAGUCUGGAGUAUUAAAA